UUAAAAAGCUCGUAGUUGAAUUUUGGAACGGGAGGGAGGGGGAGUCCGAGGGUUUUCGAUCCUCGAGGCUCGCCUCUCCCUUCGUGCGGCGCCGGUCCGCCCCGAAGGGCGAGCACUGGUCCGCGCGUUCCCUCCUACCGGACGCUCGCUCCUGCUCUUCGUUGAGUGGGAGUAUUCUCCCGAGGGUCGAUUUCCCCUUUCUCCUUUUUUUUUUUCUUCACGGAAAAAAAAAAAGGGGGAAAAAGGGGGCUUUUUCCACCGGUUCCGUUCGGAGCUCCGGUUCGUUUACCUUGAAUAAAUUAGAGUGUUCAAAGCGGGCAAGCACACGCCUAGAUACUUUAGCAUGGGAUAAUAGAAUAGGACUUGGGUUCUAUUUUCGUUGGUUUCUAGGACCGAAGUAAUGAUUGAUAGGGACGGUCGGGGGCAUUAGUAUUUAAUUGUCAGAGGUGAAAUUCUCGGAUUUAGGAAAGACUGACUUCAGCGAAAGCAUUUGCCAAGGACGUUUUCAUUAAUCAAGAACGAAAGUUAGGGGAUCGAAGACGAUCAGAUACCGUCGUAGUCUUAACCAUAAACGAUGCCGACCAGGGAUCGGGAGACGUUACCUCGAUGACUCUCCCGGCACCUUGCGGGAAACCACAAGUCUUUGGGUUCCGGGGGGAGUAUGGUCGCAAGGCUGAAACUUAAAGGAAUUGACGGAAGGGC
rnacentral:rRNA from 1 species